rnacentral:misc_RNA from 1 species
CAGAGUUCUUGCCCUCCGGGGUAGAUCUCCCACCCUUUGUAUAUCUUACCUUUGUUGCUUUGUCGGGCCCGUCCCCCGGGACCGCCGGCUUCGGCUGGCCAGCGCCCGACAGAGGACCCCAACUCUUUGUAUAAUUGUCGUCUGAGUACUAUUUUAAUAGUUA